CAGUGACGCUAUUGGUCGGCGCUGACGGAAGAGCGCUUGACUGAGCGGAAGUGAAGAAUCUCAGACGCUAGGAAGGUGAGGACGAGAGGAGCUGUGGAGCUUUUCAGCUUCACCUCCGUCACUGAUUGAGCAUGGAGGAGAAGUCAAAAAACUGUGGGGUUCCAGAGGAUCUGUUUAAUGGUUUGAAAGUUACAGAUCCCCAGGAAGCGGAGGGUGCUAGCCCUCCAGUUUCUAAUGCCGAAGAUCACCAUUCUCAGAGCAAACUGCUCCAGGAUGUUGAGACCCAUCCCCAGGAGGACCAGGGAGAAGAGGAGUGCUUUUAUGACCCCAGUGCCUCAUUUGAGAAGGAGGAACCACGAGUGGAUGAGGUUGAAAACAAACCUGAAAAUGAUGUGAAUUCCUCUGAACUAGAUGAAGAAUAUCUAAUAGAACUGGAAAAAAACAUGCCCGAUGAAGAGAAAAAGAAAAGGAGAGAAGAGAGCACUAGACUAAAGGAGGAGGGAAAUGAGCAGUUUAAGAAAGGAGAUUAUAUGGAAGCCGAAAGUUCUUACAGUCGAGCCCUUCAGAUGUGUCCAUCCUGCUUCCAGAAAGACAGGUCUAUUCUGUUUUCAAACAGAGCUGCUGCAAGGAUGAAACAGGACAAGAAAGAGAUGGCAAUCAGUGACUGCAGCAAAGCAAUUCAGUUAAACCCCAGCUACAUCAGGGCAAUACUGAGGAGAGCGGAGUUGUAUGAGAAAACCGACAAGCUAGAUGAAGCCCUGGAAGACUAUAAAUCCAUAUUAGAAAAAGAUCCGUCAGUACAUCAAGCAAGGGAAGCUUGCAUGAGAUUACCUAAGCAAAUUGAAGAACGUAAUGAAAGACUGAAGGAAGAGAUGCUGGGUAAACUAAAAGAUCUCGGGAACUUGGUUCUCCGGCCUUUCGGACUCUCCACAGAAAAUUUCCAGAUCAAACAGGAUUCCUCUACUGGCUCCUACUCCAUCAAUUUUGUUCAAAAUCCAAAUAAUAACAGAUAACAGAGAUAACAAUAGCUUUUAAAGCUGGCUUGGAAAUUGUGUGCUGCUUGCUGUUAGCGAGGGGAAAGGCCCUAACAAUGUUUAACUUUUAAAAGCAUCUUAUCUCCAAGACAGGCUAUCCAGUAGAGCCCAGUGCUCCCUUCUGCUCCUUGUUUUAUGAUCAGGGCUAAAUGCACUUCCUGUUGUAAUGAGCCUAAUUUGAUUUCCAUUUUAGGGUGGUGGCUGUGCAGCUGUUGCCCUGGUUCUGGCUGUCCUUUAUUUUGUCCAGGAGAAAGCCUGCUUGUCGAGGCUCACCUCCCCCGAGCUCCUCAAAAACAAACCCAGCCAGAGUCUCCCAGGCCGAGCAAACUUGCCGGCCAGAGGCUGCCCAGCCACAGUUGGUGGGGCUCCCCCCUGCCGUCCCCUCUUCCCGAUCACACACGCCGCCCAGGCUGCCAUGUGCGGGCUCCAGCAUCUCGUGAUUUCCUCUGUGAUGUCCCCACUGUGCUAACCCACACGUGAGCAGCUUUUCCACUCACCGGGGCACCGGCACUGUUACUACAGCAGAUACACACUCGUGUGGCAGUUUUUCUGUGCGGAGUGCACCGUGGGUUAGUUCAUUUUCUCACAUCAUGGAUCUGAACCAUGGUUAAAUUCUAUUCUUAAAAUUCAACCUCUUUUUCUAAGAACUCUAAGACUUGCCACGUGUCCCCCUUCUAUCACAAGCCCUGCGGCUGAGUUCCUCUUCCCCUGUCCUUCUGCCCCUUGUCCCACCCUGCAAAAUGCCUGCCUUAUCGCUGUACGAGUUACUGUGCUUCUAGGAAUAGAGGUUACCACCGGAGAUGCAGAGGCUGGGAGUGGCCGAGCCUGCUAGCUAAUGACGCAACACCGCAGCCCUGGGCCUGCAUCUGAGCCUCGAUAAAGUGACAAGACUUCAAGCACUGGACCUCCAGACUUGCUCAGUACUUCCUGGUCAUGCCCAUCACUCUGCACAAAGACAGACUUACAAAGCCUAGUUAAAAUUUUUGAUACACAAAAUCUGCCGUGACCUGGGAGCCACCUGGUUCUGGGCGUGAACCCGAAAGGUGCUGCCGGGUUACGUGUCUGCAAGAACCACCCCAGCCUUGACCCUGGGGCCAGAGAGCAGGGGCCACUGGCGUGCGUGUCGUCGUCAGCACGCCUGCUGCUGCAGUUCUGAGCUGACUUCUUCAGACCUGAUCAAAUGCACAAUGACUUCAUGGUAAGGAAUUUUCCAUAAAGGCAAUUUCAGAAUGCCAUCGAGACUCUGAAUAACUUACGUCGUAAUCAGAAUUUGCACUAACUCAUUAGAAGCAGGACUGCCUACCUUUCCUUCUCGAGUUGUAAAAUCCUUGUCAGGUAGAGUAAAUAUUCUGAAACUCACCCAGAACUUUUUGUUCAUCUGGAGUGUGGGGUUAUUAAGUAAUUCCAAACCUACAUAGUAAGACUGGAAAGUGAACACUUGAGCCAAAUGCUCAGUUUUCUAUUAUGUUGCUUCACAUGAAUUUUGUAUUUUUAAAAGUUUUUUUGGCAUUUUUUUCCUUUUUUUUUUUUUUUUUGUAUUAAGUAAUCAAUAUGGAUUAUCUUUCUGGCUUAAAAAAUAAAUCAGUAUUGCCACUAAAAAACUUUAGUUUUAUUAUUAAAAGCACUGCACCAUCAAAUAUAAAAGCCUUAAAAAUGUAGUACUAACAGGACCAUCUGCUUGUCUCAUUCAUGUUUUCUCCAUUCAUUAAAAAAGAAAAACUAAGGUUUUUUUCAUAACAUGUAUUUUCCAGAAUCAAAAACAUGACGGUCUCCAUUAAUGAGAACUCAUAUGCCACGCGUGAGACGUUCACUGUCCUUAUGGGUCGGCUUCCUGCUGCUUGUUACCCAGGGUCAAGUUGCACUGACACCUGCGAGACUUUCUUGCACUUAGAGAGCACAGGAGCUCUCUGUGGAGAGAGGUCAGACAAUUCAUUGUCACCUUUCCUGAACUAGACCCAAAUCAGUAAGGACAGGGAGAAGCUCAAACGCCUCUCCAGCACAGUAGGAUUAAGACUCGCUCUCAGUAUAUUUUCACUCCAAGAUCAACACUAGCCUAUCCACUUUGAGUCAGAAUUUGAAAGAUAAGAAUGUAGUCAUGAAAAUGUGCACAAAAUGUUAAAUACUGGUGGCAAAUAAAUACAUCUUAAUAUGAUCUAACAAGCAAACGUAUAUUUAAGAUAAUAUAGCCCUGGCCCUGCUUUACUGAAGAAAAGAUGCAAAUGUUCUUGGCGGGGUGGGGGGUGGCGCCAUCCCUGUAGGAUGUUCGGUCAUCUUUCCUGUUGAUUCCACUGACACCCUGGCGGGCUCACUGGCCUCGGCGUUUGUGACUAUUGCUGUUUCACAGGAGAGCCGUUUUAGAAAUAUCUUAGUUCAUAGCUGAACUAAUGAACAUAAACCUCGGAGAAAGCAGUUUUUGUAUGACAAAUAAUUCAGCAUUUCUGUCAACAUCCCAUGCCUUUUAGGACUGUCCAAGCUGUACUGAGAAGGACUUCACGUUCAAAAGAAGUUACUAUCAGUGAUUCUUCAUACGUAAAAUUCGAGAGAGGUCUUUGCGUAUCUCACAUCACUCUUCUCAUCUGAUGCAUAAUUUAUUGCAAUAGUUUACUUUUUAUAAAAUAUUCCCCUAAUACCUUUUCUUCAGUUUAAUACAGCACGGUUUGCAAGUGCCCCAUUACAGACUUGGUUUUAACCACUGCCUGAACAUUAGCUUCUUAGUGCAGCUUUAAAAAUCUGAGUCUCCAAUUUCAUUCAGUCCUGACGCUCAGGUGUUCUGUGUCAUUGUGGUACAGGUCCGAUGAAACCAGCGGCCUGCUAAUGUCUCUGUGCUGAAAUAUAGUAAAGAAAAGGAAGAAAAUGCAGUUAAGCACAAGUACUUACAUGAGGAAGACGCUGUCCUGGUUUAAAUUGAGCCCUAUAUAGACUGGGGGAUCACAUCUGACUUUUUUCUUUUAAAUCAGUUAAACUUGACCAAUGGCUUUGUUUGUUUUUUUGUUUGUUCGUUUUGAGAAAACAACUUACUACCGCUCUAAACCAGCAGAAGCAUUCGUGUUCUCUGAAGUAAUCCAGCCAAAUUCCAGCACAAAUAAAAUGGUUGUCACCUUCACAUAGUCAA